rnacentral:rRNA from 1 species
GACGAACGCUGGCGGCGUGCCUAAUACAUGCAAGUAGAACGCUGAAGGAGGAGCUUGCUCUUCUGGAUGAGUUGCGAACGGGUGAGUAACGCGUAGGUAACCUGCCUGGUAGCGGGGAUAACUAUUGGAAACAAUAGCUAAUACCGCAUAAGAGUAGAUGUUGCAUGACAUUUACUUAAAAGGUGCAAUUGCAUCCCUACCAGAUGGACCUGCGUUGUAUUAGCUAGUUGGUGGGGUAACGGCUUACCAAGGCGACGAUACAUAGCCGACCUGAGAGGGUGAUCGGCCACACUGGGACUGAGACACGGCCCAGACUCCUACGGGAGGCAGCAGUAGGGAAUCUUCGGCAAUGGACGGAAGUCUGACCGAGCAACGCCGCGUGAGUGAAGAAGGUUGUCGGAUCGUAAAGCUCUGUUGUAAGAGAAGAACGAGUGUGAGAGUGGAAAGUUCACACUGUGACGGUAGCUUACCAGAAAGGGACGGCUAACUACGUG